AACAGAAUGUUUUUGCUCCUGCAGUAUUAUUUAUCCACAAAGCUAACGCAGACUCCAUCCUUACGAUGGUUUUGUUGAGGACAGUUCCAACCCUUUUUGCAUCCUUGUUCAAACUUAUUGCUGCUGUCGUCCUUCAGUUAUUUUCCUCCUCCUUUAUGUAACGAACUGAAGAUGCAUUUAUUCCAUAAUGGUCCUACAGCCGCCUAACCUCUCCCUUCCUUCAGUGUGUCCAGAAGUCCAACUGUUUGUGUGAUGGUUAGCAUCUCCCUCUG